rnacentral:rRNA from 1 species
UGAAUACGAGACGCUAAGGCGUCGAAGUAGUGUAUGUCAUACUUCCAAGAAAAGCUUGCACUGUCAUAGAUAAAAAACGCCUGUACCGUAACCGACACAGGUGGGUAGGUAGAGUAUACUAAGGGGCGCGAGAUAACUCUCUCUAAGGAACUCGGCAAAAUAACUCCGUAACUUCGGGAGAAGGAGUGCCUUAUUCGUAAGGUUGCAAUAACAAGAUCCAAGCAACUGUUUAUCAAAAACACAGGUCUCCGCUAAGUCGUAAGACGAUGUAUGGGGGCUGACGCCUGCCCAGUGCCAGAAGGUUAAAGAAGUUGGUUAGCAAUUGCGAAGCUGAUAACUGAAGCCCUGGUGAACGGCGGCCGUAACUAUAACGGUCCUAAGGUAGCGAAAUUCCUUGUCGGGUAAGUUCCGACCCGCACGAAAGGCGUAAUGAUUUGGAUACUGUCUCGGAGAGGGGCUCGGUGAAAUAGACUUGUCUGUGAAGAUGCGGACUACCUGCACCAGGACAGAAAGACCCUAUGAAGCUUUACUGUAACUUGAAAUUGAAAUUGGACUUUAUUCGCGCAGUAUAGGUGGGAGGCGUUGAUUAUAACCUUGUGGGAUUAUUGGAGCCAUCAGUGAGAUACCACUCUUGUAAUGUUAGAUUUCUAACUUUGAAUCAUUAUCUGGUCAAAGAACAGUUUCAGGCGGGCAGUUUGACUGGGGCGGUCGCCUCCUAAACGGUAACGGAGGCGUACAAAGGUUUCCUCUGAACGGUUAGAAAUCGUAUCUAGAGUGUAAAGGCAUAAGGAAGCUUGACUGUGAGACCUACAAGUCGAGCAGGGACGAAAGUCGGUCUUAGUGAUCUGACGGUACUGAGUGGAAAGGCCGUCACUCAACGGAUAAAAGUUACUCUAAGGAUAACAGGCUGAUCUCCCCCAAGAGUUCACAUCGACGGGGAGGUUUGGCACCUCGAUGUCGGCUCAUCGCAUCCUGGGGCGGUAGUACGUCCCAAGGGUUGGGCUGUUCGCCCAUGAAAGCGGUACGCGAGCUGGGUUCAGAACGUCGUGAGACAGUUCGGUCCAUAUCCGGUGUAGGCGUUAGAAUAUUGAGAGGAGCCUUCUUUAGUACGAGAGGACCGAGAAGGACAUACCUCUGGUGUACCAGUUAUCGUGCCAACGGUAAACGCUGGGUGGCUAUGUAUGGAGUGGAUAACCGCUGAAAGCAUCUAAGUGGGAAGCCCACCUCAAGAUAAGUAUUCUCC